rnacentral:lncRNA from 1 species
GGGUGACGUGGCAUGAUGUGUUUGUUUGAGAAUGAUUUAUGUUUAUUCUACAAUGGGCUCAAAAAUGACAUUAAACGGGUCUUGGGUAUCACUGAAUGACUUUAAACUUGUUUAAUAGAUUUGAGUUUAAUGGUGUUACAAAAAAAAAAGAUUUGAGUUUAAUGAGUUUUCUUCAUUAUGGAUAAAUAAACUUAUUGGAAUCAUACAUGAUGGACAUGAUCAAGCUAAAGGUUAUAAAACGCUGAUCAAUUUAGCAUCAAAGAUGAAGCAACAUGAAAAAAACAUGUUUUAGUGGUGAGUUUUAGGUGUUGGGCUUAACAAGGAGAAGUGUGGGAAAGAAGACGAAGACUAAGUUAAAUAUUCCUUAAGCAAAUUGUGAUAUAGAAUCAGCUAUAUAUAUCACAAAGCCUUUUUUUUAUCGCAUUAUUUCCAAAAAAAGGCUCAAAUAACAGUUUUUUUUUUUUACAGCAAACAAUUUACAGAUUCAUAUUGACUCUGUAAA